GACGAACGCUGGCGGCGUGCUUAACACAUGCAAGUCGAACGGGAACCUUUAUUUCGGUAAAGGAGAGAGUGGCAAACGGGUGAGUAACACGUAGGCAACCUGCCGACAGGAUGGGGACAACAUUCCGAAAGGAAUGCUAAUACCGAAUGGAGUCCGAGGAUGGCAUCAUCCUUGGAUAAAAGAUGGCCUCUUAACAAUGCUAUCGCCUGUCGAUGGGCCUGCGUCUGAUUAGCCAGUUGGCGGGGUAACGGCCCACCAAAGCGACGAUCAGUAGCCGGUCUGAGAGGAUGAACGGCCACAUUGGGACUGAGACACGGCCCAGACUCCUACGGGAGGCAGCAGUGGGGAAUCUUCCACAAUGGGCGAAAGCCUGAUGGAGCAACGCCGCGUGAGUGAAGAAGGUCUUCGGAUCGUAAAGCUCUGUUGCACGGGA
rnacentral:rRNA from 1 species